GGGUUUGUGGCUCAGUGGUGGAGAGCUUGCCUGGCACAUGUGAGGCUCUGGGUUCGAUUCCCAGCACCA
rnacentral:tRNA from 1 species